rnacentral:lncRNA from 1 species
GUUCCUCCUCAAGAAUUCGGAUAUCUAACUUCCAAGUUAAUCUGUAUAAAUGUUUUCGGAUGACAUUUUAUAAGUAUUUUAGCAGAGAACCAACCUCUUUUGCCAUGUAUGUCUAUUAAUGAACUAAACAUUGUUGCCCCAAUUAAAUUUAUUUCCUCUUUGGUCGAAGUGAAAAUAUUUUCACUCUACCGUUCUAGGAUGUGAUCUAUUCACGCUUUGAAAUUUCACAGAACGAAGUCUAGAUUUUGAACUGAACUUAACCUUAUUCAUGCAGAGAGAACAGAACAUUGAAAUUGGUAAACUAUAAAAAAUGAGUAGCUACUUGAAUAGUUGAGUUCCUUUUCAUUGAACAAAAAAUAUCGUUCUCUCUCAAAAAAGGGAGAUGUUUACAAGUUGAGAAGACGCCUAUUGUACAAAAAUGUCUCCACUAAUCUAUCUAUGUUAGUCUCCUAAAGUAUGACAUUUAUUGUCCAUUCAAGCAAGAAGUUAUACGUUGGAAGACUUCUUCACUGCAAGGAAUUGUGAGGCCACCCAUAGGAUGAUCAUACCCAAACUCUUCCUCGGCUUCACUCAAUAAGUCUUGAAAUGAAGGUUUGUUCAAGUAUGAUACAGGGAUCACAAACCGCUUCAUUUUCUCUCCCACGUACACUGCAAGAUGCCCCUUUUGUGCAUCAACUGCUUUUGAAGAUGCUUGAUUUGCUACAAAUAUUGCCUUUCUGAUGCCAGGAAAACGAAAACCCAUUUUGUAUUGAUAAGAGAACAGAAGGGUUUGAGAAAAGUGUUGAGGAUGUGAAUGAUUUGUGUUGGUUCUAAAUGCUUACAGCCAUGAGUAUAUAUAGAUAAAAGGAUAUGCAUGAAUUGGUUACUUGAAUUAUUGGUGAAGGAUGGGUAUGAGAUAGCAGUCAGAGGAGCAAAGGAGAGACAUAGCAUGUGGUGCUGUCCACAAGGACUUUCUUAAAUUGCAACGUAACGUGUCAUAAUAGAUAACACAAGUCCCACCUUGUGGAUCUAUGAAAAAAGAAGACUAAUUGGUUCAUAUUGUAUCAUUAUAUGAUCGUGCAUUCAAUGUUGAUUCUCUUCUUAUCUCCUCUGUACUUCAAAUUGUAAGCAACACUGCAUGACAUUUGCAUAAAUGAUGUCAACGAUGGCCACCACCUUGAAUGAGUUUCAACAUCAAACCUUCUUUAUCGUACACAAAGAGGGUGGACUUGUAUUAUGUACUCUAACAUGUUACAUUUAUUCUGAAGAGAGUUCUCUACAACACCAUGUGCCUUGUCUCUCAUUUGGUGCCAUGGCUCCUAUCUCAUCACAAUUCACCUGAAUAUAAAUGUAUUAUAUUCAAUGAGUUUGUUUCAAAAGAUACGAAUGAUAGAAUCCACCUGAAUGCAGGGUCAGCUAAGAAUAUACGAUGUCAUGUUUGUGAGAAGAACAUAGCUUCUAAAGAACCAACUGAGAUUUAUAUCCUCAUGUUUCAAAAAUGACAAUUCAUCAUUAUUGUUGUUCGAAGUUUCCCACCAGCAGUGUAAUUAUUUUUAGUUAAGAUUUGUACUAGACCAGAGCAUCUAGAGCUCAGUGCUCGCUGGUCGGAGCUCAGCAUCUGCCUUAGACAGGUCAACUCAGGUUUUGGGCCAAGUUGAUGGGCCAUGUGAUUGGGUUCAAGAUGUGUGUGUCAACUCUUUCCUGUAUACUUAACGUAAUCCCUCGUGCGCAAGGCCUAGGCAGUCAGCAAGGGGUAAUAAUGGACCUAGGGUGCGGUUAGUGUGUAUGGGUCUACUACGAGUAAAACGUUUUCUCUGAACCUAAGUCCAUGUGUGUUAGGGCACGAUGAGUUAGGUUGCAUGUAUGAUGCAUAACGCCUCACCGAGGGUGCCUACGUGAAACUGAUUGGACCCCUGAUGCUGGUACAUGAGUUGGUACCUUGGUCGUUAUUCUGUUAAGAUUUUAUGCACUCCAAAGGGGAAAAAUUUUGUUCAGUUGCAACACUAAUAGAGUGUGCCCUAAAACAAAAUAUUUUCUUGUUGAGCAUGCUUUCAGUUGAGAUGAUAUUCUUGUGAUAGAAAGUUGUUACAAGAGGUAGGCUAUAAAAGGGACUUGAGAUCCCAGGUAAAAGUAUGUUGUUUCUAAGACUGAAACUAGUUACUUCUUGUUUCUUAUAAAGCCUUGUAUUGACUUGAUCGUCGGAGUGCAAUCAACAGGUAGAGCCCCCUUGAGGCGCGAACAAAGGGAAGAGCAGAUUCCAACAGAGAUAGACAGAGUCAGAGCUUGGGAUUGGAGUCAACCGGCGACUAGGUCAUCCGACAAGAACAUUUGGCAUCCACUGUGGGGCCCGAUAAAACCACGUCCCACCUGCAGUAGUGCUCAAGCUUUUACGCGUGAUGAGGAAUACGAGGCAAGGUCCGGUAGGACUAGAAGAGAGUGACAACCCCACCCUACAACAGCUCAUGGAGAUCGUUAGCACCCUUCAAGAGACAGUGGCGACAUCCACGGCUAACCAGGAGAGGCUCAUGGCAGAGGUUUGAGUUGAACAGGUACUUAGGCAAGACCAGUUCAGGGCGAGGCUAGAUGUGUCACGAGCAAGCAACGAGGAACUACGCAAAGCCAACGAAGAAUUGUGUAGGGACCUACAACGGCUGGGAUAACGCUCCAUGGGAGAGCGAAUCCCAACGAUUCAAGAAAAGGUCGGCCUCAUGCCGUUCUCACAGGUGAUCAUGGACGUCGUCGUGCCAACUAGUUUCAUGACGCUCAAGAUUGUUUUUACAGGUACAGAAGACCCGGAGGCCCAUUUCACAGCAUUCAAUGCUUAGAUGAGGAUCUCGAGAGGAACGGACGCCAUGCAUUGCAAGUUGUUCAUGGGCACGUUUACAGGCACAUUGCUACAGUGGUUCGUUGGCCUCCCAAAGGGCCAUAUCACUUCUUUCGAUCAGUUUUCUGCUCUAUUCAAUGAACAAUUAAUCGUCAACUGAGCCCGACCGCCUGUCCCUUUUGUCCUCUUCGGGGUGAAACAGAGGCAAGGAGAGUCUUUGAAGGACUUCCUGAACAGGUUUGAAGCGUUCGUGGUAAAACUCCAGACUUAGGACGAGGCUUUGAUGGUUCAUGCCUUUGGGUAGGGGAUCAUGUCAGGGCCAAUUAGCGACUCAUUGAUCAGAAACCGGACAAGGACCUUUUGGGAGAUCCGACGACGAGCUGUUGCCACAUUGUCGUGGAAGAAGCUGUGACAAUAAAGCGCGGGAGCUCGUAUGCUGGGCAGGCCAAACCUAGAGAGAGAGGGUGGUGAAGCCCAACCAAUGAGAGUGCAUGAGGCUGUGACCAUGAAAAGGUCAGACACCCGGCGAGCACCUUAUGCGCCGAGAAAGAACCAAGUUAGGUCGAAGGCGAAGGAUGACUUGCCUUUUUGACCCAAGUUCAAAAUGUCUUACAAGGAGCUAUUGGCUAUGCCAGGUAUGGCAAACCAGUUGAGGUUCCCCCCAAAAUCUGAUAGGAAUUUGGGGCCAUGCAAGGAGAUCUGGUGUGAUUUCCACAAAGCCUUCGAGCAUGAUGUGGAGCACUACAUAGCCCUUGGCUACCAGUUGGCAGGGCUGGUGAAGGAUGGGCUCCUGAAGGAAUACUUAGAAGGGAGCAAGGAGGGUUCAAAGGAGGAGCUCCAAUCAGCGGACCAAAGGCACGAGGUACCUGUCCAUGGCGAGAUUAAUACAAUCUCAGGAGGAUUUUCAGGAGGAGGCUGCACCGCCUCCCAACGCAAGAGGUACGCAAGGGAGGUGAUGACGGUAGAAAAACGAGAUCCUGAUCAGUCGGUCGAGCCCGACCUCUUGUUCACCAAGGUUGACUUGAGAGAUGUAGUCCCACAUGAGGACGAUCCAGUAGUGAUCUUGAUCAUGAUUGUGGGAAGAGGAGUACAUAGGGUCCUUAUCAAUCAGGGGAGCUCGAUCGACGUGAUGUUUUGGGUUACUUUCAACAUGCUGCAGUUGUCGCCCGAUCAGUUGAGACCUUAUGACGGUUGUCUGUUCGAUUUCGCUGGGAACCAAGUGGAAGUAAGAGGACAUGUGGAGUUGAGGACAACUUUUUCAGAUGGCACCUCAUCUCGUACAAUCAAUAUCAGGUACUUAGUUGUUAAUGCAGCUUUGGCUUAUAACAUGCUUUUGGGCAGACGUGCCUUGAACAGGUUAGGCACGGUGGCCUCAACGAGGCACAUGAAGAUGAAGUUGCCCUCCCUUGAGGGAGGAGUAAUCGUUAUCAGGUCUGAUCAGAAGGCGACGAGGAAGUGUUAUGAGAACAACCUGAAGAACAAAGAGCAAUAUGCGUGGUUGCCACCCAGCCAUAGGGGCCUGAAGGGACCACUCGUGUAGAAAUCGCCAGCGAGAGGCGGCCUGAGCCUGCAGGUUAGGUUCAGGAUUAAGAGAUUGAGGGAAAGAAGUUCAAGCUCGGCACAUCGUUGGGCAAGGAGAUGCAAGAUCAAGUUGUCGGGGUAAUAGCGAGGCACCUAAACGCUUUUGCAUGGUGCGCCUCUGACAUGCCCGACAUCGACCCUGACUUCUUGUGCCACCGACUCACGAUGGACGCGAAGGUCAGGCCCGUGAUACAAAGGAGAAGGAAGUUCAAUGAAGAGAGACCCUUGGUCAUCAGGGAAGAAACCCAGAAGUUGCUUAGCACCGACCACAUAAGGAAGAUCUAGUACCCUGAGUGGCUGACGAAUGUUGUGUUGGUCAAGAAGGCCAAUGGGAAGUGAAGGAUGUGUGUCGACUUUACAGAUCUGAACAAGGCCUGUCCUAAGGAUUUAUAUUCGCUGCCUAGCAUUGAAGCCCUAGUGGACAACGCCUCGGGUUGUCAACUUCUCAGUUUUCUAGAUGCAUUCUCGGGGUACAACCAGAUCCGUAUGCACCCCCGCGAUGAGAGCAAGACUGCGUUCAUGACGGAGCUCUCCAGUUGUUGUUACAAGGUCAUGCGUUUUGGGUUGAAGAACGUCGAUGCAACCUACCAGAGGUUGAUGGAUAGGAUUCUCACCCCUAUGAUAGGGUGAAAUGUGCAUGCAUAUGUGGACGACAUGGUCAUCACCUAACCAGAAAAAGAUCAACAUGUUGCUGAUUUGGAUGAGCUAUUUGCGACAAUAGCUAAGUAUGAUUUGAAGUUGAAUCCCGAAAAGUCUGUAUUCUAGGUGGUGGCAGGGAAAUUCUUAGGGUUUUUGCUCACUGAGCGGGGGAUAAGCAAACAUUGAUAAGUGCACGAUAAUCAUAGGGAUGAGGAGCCCUGCCACUGUAAAGGAGGUAUAGCAGUUGACUGGGCAAAUGGCUGCCCUGUCCCGAUUCUUGUUGGUAAGUGGAGAAAGGGAUAUCCUUAUUUCCAAUGUCUGAAGAAGAACAACCGCUUCAUGUGGACUAGUGAAUGUGAAUAUGCGUUUCUCAAGCUAAAGGAGUACUUAGCCAACCCACCUGUCCUUUGUAAGCCGCUGCCAGGUACUCCCCUUCGUCUCUACUUCGUAGUGAUAGAGCGAGAGAUUAGCUCGGUUAUAGUACAAGAACAUGAUCAAGUUCAGAAGCUGAUAUACUUCGUCAGCAAGGUGCUGCAAGGGCUCGAGAUAUGAUAUCAGGCUAUUGAGAAAGCAGCCCUGGCGGUUGUAUUUGCAGCUCGACGGCUCCGCCAUUAUUUCCAGAGUUUCACAGUGACUGUCAUGACCGACCUUCCCAUACGGAAAGUCUUUCAAAAACCUGACAUAGCAGGUCAGAUGGUGCACUGGGCGGUCGAGCUGUUCGAGUUCGACGUACAAUACGAACCUAAGGGGCCUAUCAAGGGCUAGGUUUAUGCUGACUUUGUAGUGGAGCUUUCCUCAGAAGCCCCUCAUGUAGACGGUGGAUAUUUCCAGUGGGUCCUCUUUGUGGAUGGAUCUUCUAAACAGCAAGGUAGCAGAGCUGGUAUAAUCCUGGAAGGACCAAAUGGAUUGUUGAUCGAGCAGGCCCUUAGAUGUGCUUUCAAGGCCAACAACAACCAGGCUGAGUAUGAAAAGCUGGUAGCUGGAAUGUUGUUGGCCAAGGAGUUGGGCGCUCGGAGUUUGCUGGUGAAAAGUGACUAGCUGCUAGUGACCGGGCAAGUCACAGGUGAGUACAAGGCUAAAGAUCUACAGAUAGCCUCGUACUUAAGGUAUGUCACGCUCUUAAGGGAGAGUUUUCCCAUGUUUGAAUUAGUGCAUAUCCCGAGGGAACAAAAUGCACGAGCAGACCUGCUGGCCAAGCUCGCCAGCUCAGGCAAGGAGGUCGCCAGAGGUCGGUCAUUCAUGAGACUCUGAAGUCACCCAGAACCACUGCAGGUUGUGCGGGUGAGGUCCAACAUGUGGAGACUUUGGAGGGUGGAAGAAGAGGACAUCGAUCGUUGACGCAAGAAACGCUAAAGGUGUCCGAGGUAAGCGCCUAUGGCUUGUCAGGAGAGGAAUCGUUGAACGUCUGUCAAGUCGGCGUGAGCGAAACCUGGAUAACACCAUAUCAGCGUUUCCUUGCUGAUGGCAUGCUCCUGGCAGAGCCCGUGGAAACUAAGGUUAUUAAGAAGAACUCAGACAAAUAUACCCUGAUAAAUGGAAAGCUGUUCAGACAUGGCUACAUUCAUCCUGUCCUCACCUGUGUAAGCGGGGAUCAAUGUACGCGCAUCAUGACAGAGCUCCAUGAAGGCAUCUAUGGAAGUCAUGUCGGGGGACGAGCUCUCUCCCUAAAGGCUGUUUGGACGGGGUACUACUGGCCGACCAUGUGGGAAGACUGCAUGAAGUAUGCCUAACGAUGCGAUCAAUGUCAGAAGGACGUUGAUUGAAAUCAUGCACCCCCAAAGGAGUUGCGAUCCAUACAUAGCCCCUUGCCUUUCCACACUUAGGGGAUAAAUAUCUUAGGUCCAUUCCCACUAGCAAUUCGUCAAAUGAAGUACCUGGUGGUGGCGAUUGAAUACUUCACCAAGUGGAUAGAAGCCGAACUAGUUGCACAGAUAACUACCUACAAGGAUCAACACUUUGUGUGGAAGAACAUUGUUUAUCGUUUUGGGAUCCAAAACGUUUAGUGUCUGACAAUGACACCCAGUUCGCGAGCCAACAGCUAUGCAAGCUGUGCACCGAGCUCGGCAUCAAGUAGGUGUUCGCCUCGGUAGAGCAUCCUUAGACGAACGGACAGGUUGAGUCUGGAAACAGAGUCUUGCUCAAAGGCUUGAAGAGGAUGUUGGAGA